GAUAUCUUUUUACUUAUGUGGAAAGAGAACUGGAUACUCUUACCUCUAUGUUGGGCACCCGUCUGCAUGGAAUAGAUGGCCCAGUUAUGACCUAGGUUCCACUUAUGUGUUCUCCCACACAUGCAUCGUGUUCAGGAGAAGCUAAACUUGUAAUCAAUUGUGAUGGCAUACAAGAAAAUCCUUCUCUGUCUCCUAUGUCACACUUUUAAGAUAAUUUAAACUCAGUCUUUCAUCUUCUGAUUCAAAGUCAUUAUGAGAAGACAAGUCCUCAUAUGUGACACUAUAUUCUGAAGGAAUUAGAAACCUAUUCCAUUUCGUGUCCCCACAAAAAUGUUCUAUUAAUUUAUUUCCAUAUUUUGAUUUCUAAGAAUCUCCGGGCUUAUUUUUGAUGAGCUUCUGACUCUUGUCAUUGCAUCUCAAGUUGGUUCAUUUGCAAUCUCGAUGACUUAAUGUUAUUCUAGUGAAUUCCGAGUAGCUCAUUUUGAGCCGGGAGCAUCAUUGUAUUGAUGUAUUCUUUAGGAUUAGUGGCGUAAGUGGAGUUUGAUGACUUAGGGAUAGUAGGGCAUUUUCCACAUAGCAAAGUGGAUCAAGUAUCCUGAGAAAUGUCCAUAUAAACAUACAAGUAUAUGGUGUUAAACUUGUCCUCUCUUUCUGUACUAAUCUAAUUCUUCCUUUUGUUUUUAUGAAGUUUUUUUUAGCUGGAGCCAUAGUUAGCUUGAUAUUUUUUUGUUUGGUUUCAAAACUAAUUAGCUACAAACUUUAGUUGUUACUGAUCUACUCUUUUUCCCUAUAGCUCUACUCCUUAUUGUUUGUCAUUUUUACUUCUGCUGCCUUUAUUCUACCAGUCUGCAGAGCAAAUUGGGAUUGGGGAUGUGUUCAACAAGUUGGCAAAGCAGUUGGGAAAUCCUGUAGAGUUUGAACUUCCAGAUUGGUCAAAUAAAUGGCAGUCUGCUCCAUAUAUUUUUAUAAAACGCAGUAUCCAUCAAAUGAUUUAUUCAUGCAUUUUUUUAUCCAUGAUUGUGCAUAAGUGAAAAUAUGUAGAAGAUCUUGUAAUCCGAUUCUUAUACUUCUAGAAGGGAUAUGUACUGCAGUUAUCGUCUACCUUUUUAGACUUUUAUAUAUGUUUCUAAGCAAUCUUUGCAAAAGAUAAUUAUAGUUUGCUGGGCCGUAGUUGUCUAGAUUUGAAGAAUGACUAUAAAUAAUUUAUGUUUGUCCAAUUUUACUUCUAUUCAGCCGCUGUUUUUCUUUGCAAUCCACAUAUCUUCUUUUUGUUUUGCAAGCAUUGCAUCCUUUAUUUUCCUUUUGUUUAUCUUGAAAAAACUAGACAUAUAUGUCACUAAGAAGCCAACGAGGCGCCAUGAGGAUGAUGGCAUCUUUUGCUCAUGCGGUCAAUCUCCAGGAUCUAGUUCUUCCUGUGGUAGAGACUGUCAUUGUGGGUUUAUCUGAUACUUGAUAAAUGCAUCCUUGCUAGAGAGCUUUAGGAAACGAGUAAGAAGGUACUCAAUAGAUUAUGGAAUGUUCCAUUUCUGUAUUGCAGAUACAGAGCAUGACUGGAGGGCAGGUAGUGAGCAAUACAAGUUCCUUGAAAAAUGUCUUGCAUCAGCAAAUAGACACAAGCAACCUUGGUUGAUCUCUCGGAUAUUCGUCUAAUAAAUGGUUUGGAGAGGAGGGGUCAUUUGAAGAGCCAAUGGUAGGGCGUAAAUUAAGUUUUGGUGCAUGGGAUUCCAGAAAAUCUGAUGUCCUUAUAACAUUUAAGGAAUAUGUUCAUAUGGAUAUAUUAGUUUACCUUAAUUUUAAUUGUUAUUUAUUUGUACUAUAUCUUGUAUUUAUGAACAAAAAUAUUAGAAAUGAAACUUUUAUCUACAUGUAAA